rnacentral:rRNA from 1 species
GGCCGCGACCAGAGCAUGUUGGAAACACCCGUUCUCGUCUGAUUUCUGAAGUUAAGCAACGUUGGUCCCGGUUAGUACUUGCAUGGUGACCGGCUGGGAAUACCGGGCGUUGUGGCAG